AUGGGAGCCGAGCAGCAGCACCAGGCCGCCGGGGGCAGCAGGUUCGCCGUGGCGUUCGGCCUGCUGCGCCAGUACAUGAGGGAGCAGCCUGGCGUGGUCACCGUGGGCCUCUCGCCGGGCGGCGGCGACGGCGUCGAGGCGGUGGCGCCCGAGCAGCGGAUCCGGACCAUGGAGCUCUUCCCCCAGCAGGCCGGCACGGUCAGGGGCUCGCACGAGAGGACGGGGCCUGAGAGAGCGCCGCUCACCAUCUUCUACGGCGGGAGGACGUUCGUGUUCGACGACUUCCCCGCCGAGAAGGCCAGGGAGCUCAUGCAGCUCGCCGGCUCCUUCUGCGCGCCGCCGCCCGCCCCCGACGCCGAGCCCGCCUGCCAGAACGCGCCGGGGCAGCCUUGCUUGUCAGACCUGCCGAUCGCGAGGAAGGCGUCGCUCCACAGGUUCCUGGCGAAGAGGAAGAGCAGGCUCACCGCGGCAGAUCCGUACCCGGCGCCGUUAGCGGCGCCGGGGGCCGGGGCGGCCAAGGAGACGGCCGGCAAGGCUGCGCCGGAGGACGGCGGCGCGCCGUGGCUCGGCGUCAACCCCGCGCUCCAGCUCAACUGA
rnacentral:rRNA from 1 species